GAUUCCCCCAGUAGCGGCGAGCGAACGGGGAGCAGCCCAGAGCCUGAAUCAGUGUGUGUGUUAGUGGAAGCGUCUGGAAAGGCGCGCGAUACAGGGUGACAGCCCCGUACACAAAAAUGCACAUACUGUGAGCUCGAUGAGUAGGGCGGGACACGUGGUAUCCUGUCUGAAUAUGGGGGGACCAUCCUCCAAGGCUAAAUACUCCUGACUGACCGAUAGUGAACCAGUACCGUGAGGGAAAGGCGAAAAGAACCCCGGCGAGGGGAGUGAAAAAGAACCUGAAACCGUGUACGUACAAGCAGUGGGAGCACGCUUAGGCGUGUGACUGCGUACCUUUUGUAUAAUGGGUCAGCGACUUAUAUUCUGUAGCAAGGUUAACCGAAUAGGGGAGCCGAAGGGAAACCGAGUCUUAACUGGGCGUUAAGUUGCAGGGUAUAGACCCGAAACCCGGUGAUCUAGCCAUGGGCAGGUUGAAGGUUGGGUAACACUAACUGGAGGACCGAACCGACUAAUGUUGAAAAAUUAGCGGAUGACUUGUGGCUGGGGGUGAAAGGCCAAUCAAACCGGGAGAUAGCUGGUUCUCCCCGAAAGCUAUUUAGGUAGCGCCUCGUGAAUUCAUCUCCGGGGGUAGAGCACUGUUUCGGCAAGGGGGUCAUCCCGACUUACCAACCCGAUGCAAACUGCGAAUACCGGAGAAUGUUAUCACGGGAGACACACGGCGGGUGCUAACGUCCGUCGUGAAGAGGGAAACAACCCAGACCGCCAGCUAAGGUCCCAAAGUCAUGGUUAAGUGGGAAACGAUGUGGGAAGGCCCAGACAGCCAGGAUGUUGGCUUAGAAGCAGCCAUCAUUUAAAGAAAGCGUAAUAGCUCACUGGUCGAGUCGGCCUGCGCGGAAGAUGUAACGGGGCUAAACCAUGCACCGAAGCUGCGGCAGCGACGCUGAUGCGUUGUUGGGUAGGGGAGCGUUCUGUAAGCCUGUGA
rnacentral:rRNA from 1 species